rnacentral:rRNA from 1 species
AUGAACGCUGGCGGCGUGGAUUAGGCAUGCAAGUCGAGCGAGAAAGCCACCUUCGGGUGGUGAGUAGAGCGGCGAACGGGUGAGUAACGCGUGGGAAACCUGCCCUCAGGUGGGGAAUAACAUCCCUAACGGGGUGCUAAUACCGCAUGUGACGGUCGGAUCGCAUGAUCUGAUUGUGAAAGGUGGCCUAGGACUCAAGCUGUCGCCUGAGGAUGGUCCCGCGUCCGAUUAGCUUGUUGGUGGGUAACGGCUCACCAAGGCUACGAUCGGUAGCUGGUCUGAGAGGAUGGUCAGCCACACUGGGACUGAGAUACGGCCCAGACUCCUACGGGAGGCGGCAGUCGAGAGGCUUCGGCAAUGGGGGAAACCCUGACCGAGCGACGCCGCGUGAGGGAAGAAGGCUUUCGAGUCGUAAACCUCUUUCAGUGGGGAAGAAUCGCCGCCGGGCGAAUACCCCGGUGGUCUGACGGUACCCACAGAAGAAGCGCCGGCUAACUCCGUG